rnacentral:rRNA from 1 species
CCUACGGGAGGCUGCAGUGGGGAAUAUUGGGCAAUGGAGGAAACUCUGACCCAGCAACGCCGCGUGAAUGAUGAAGGUCUUCGGAUUGUAAAGUUCUUUUAAGAGGGAAGAGCAGAAGACGGUACCUCUUGAAUAAGCCAUGGCUAACUACGUGCCAGCAGCCGCGGUAAUACGUAGGUGGCAAGCGUUGUCCGGAUUUACUGGGUGUAAAGGGCGUGCAGCCGGGAAGACAAGUCAGAUGUGAAAUCCCGCGGCUCAACCGCGGAACUGCAUUUGAAACUGUUUUUCUUGAGUACCGGAGAGGUCAGCGGAAUUCCUUGUGUAGCGGUGAAAUGCGUAGAUAUAAGGAAGAACACCAGUGGCGAAGGCGGAUGACUGGACGGCAACUGACGGUGAGGCGCGAAAGCGUGGGGAGCAAACAGGAUUAGAUACCCCUGUAGUC